rnacentral:rRNA from 1 species
CCUACGGGUGGCUGCAGUGAGGAAUAUUGGUCAAUGGGCGGGAGCCUGAACCAGCCAAGCCGCGUGAGGGAAGACGGUCCUACGGAUUGUAAACCUCUUUUGCCGGGGAGCAACGGGGUCCUUGCGAGGGCCCGAUGAGAGUACCCGGAGAAAAAGCAUCGGCCAACUCCGUGCCAGCAGCCGCGGUAAUACGGAGGAUGCGAGCGUUAUCCGGAUUUAUUGGGUGUAAGGGGUGCGCAGGCGGAUUUUUAAGUCAGCGGUAAAAUCGUGGGGCUCAACCCCUUCCAGCCGUUGAAACUGGUGAUCUAGAGUGUGCGAGAGGUAUGCGGAAUGCGUGGUGUAGCGGUGAAAUGCGUAGAUAUCACGCAGAACCCCGAUUGCGAAGGCAGCAUACCGGUGCACAACUGACGCUCAGGCACGAAAGCGUGGGUAUCGAACAGGAUUAGAUACCCGGGUAGUC